rnacentral:rRNA from 1 species
CCCAGUUCAGGGAGGUAGUGACAAUAAAUACCUUACAGAGGUCUCGUUAACCGAGAUCUCUCAAACGGAAUGAGUACAACGUGAAUCCUUUAACGAGGAUCGACUGGAGGGCAAGCCUGGUGCCAGCAGCCGCGGUAAUUCCAGCUCCAGUAGCGUAUAUUAAAGCUGUUGCGGUUAAAAAGCUCGUAGUUGGAUAUCAGUGCGUGUCCGGUCCGGUAUGCCUGGCGGCGUCGCUCGCGCGGCACUGCUGGGCUCCCAAAUAUCGGCUGGCCGCAUUCAAUCGUGCCGGAUCCGUCGACGGGCCGUUCUUCGGAGGGGCCUGUUGGCGACCGGCGACGUUACCUUGAACAAAUUAGAGUGCUCAAAGCAGGCUCUGAAUGCCUGUAUACAUAUUCAUGGAAUUGGAGAAUACGUCCCUGGCUCGAUUUGGUUGGUUUUGAGAGUCGAAGGGAAAUGAUUAAUAGGGACUGACGGAGGCAUUCGUAUUGCGACGCGAGGGGUGAAAUCCUGUGACCGUCGCACGACGAACUACUGCGAAAGCAUUUGCCGAGAAUGUUUUCAUUAGUCAAGAACGAAAGUUAGAGGUUCGAAGGCGAUCAGAUACCGCCCUAGUUCUAACCGUAAACGAUGUCGACCAGCAAUCCGCAACGGUCACUACACGGACUGUGCGGGCAGCUUCCCCGGGGAAACCAGAGUUUUUGGACUCCGGGGGAAGUAUGGUUGCAAAGCUGAAACUUAAAGGAAUUGACGGAAGGGCACCACCAGGAGUGGAGCUUGCGGCUUAAUUUGACUCAACACGGGACAACUCACCAGGCCCGGACACCGUAAGGAUUGACAGACUGAUAGCUCUCUCUUGAUUCAGUGGGUGGUGGUGCAUGGCCGUUCUUAGUUGGUGGAGUGAUUUGUCUGGUUUAUUCCGAUAACGAACGAGACUCUGGCCUAUUAAACUUGACGCUGCCAGUCUCUUGUGACUGCGGCGCGCUUCUUAGAGGGAUCAUCGGCGUCCCAGCCGAAGGAAAGGGAGCAAUAACAGGUCUGUGAUGCCCUUAGAUGUUCUGGGCUGCACGCGUGUUACACUGAAGUGGUCAGCGCGCCGUUCAACGUCCCUCUCCGUGAGGAGCGGGCAAACGUUUGAACCCUUUUCGUGAUGGGAAUUGGGGGUUGCAAUUGUCCCCCAUGAACGAGGAAUUCCAAGUAAGCGCAAGUCACUAGCUUGCGUUGAUUAAGUCCCUGCCCUUUGUACACACCGCCCGUCGCUACUACCGAUGGAUGAUUUGGUGAGGUCGCCUAGA